GUUUCNCCGAAAGGUGGUGAGCUAAACCCGCAAGGGAGGCAGCCGACCACGGUGGUCAGCGACUGGGGUG
rnacentral:rRNA from 1 species